rnacentral:rRNA from 1 species
AAAGCUUGCUUUCUUUGCUGGCGACCGGCGCACGGGUGAGUAACACGUAUCCAACCUACCCUUUACUCGGGGAUAGCCUUUCGAAAGAAAGAUUAAUACCCGAUAGCAUAAUGACUCCGCAUGGUUUCAUUAUUAAAGGAUUCCGGUAAAGGAUGGGGAUGCGUUCCAUUAGGUUGUUGGUGGGGUAACGGCCCACCAAGCCUUCGAUGGAUAGGGGUUCUGAGAGGAGGGUCCCCCACAUUGGAACUGAGACACGGUCCAAACUCCUACGGGAGGCAGCAUG